rnacentral:rRNA from 1 species
CCUACGGGAGGCAGCAGUGAGGAAUAUUGGUCAAUGGACGAGAGUCUGAACCAGCCAAGUAGCGUGAAGGAUGACUGCCCUAUGGGUUGUAAACUUCUUUUAUAUGGGAAUAAAACGUUCCACGUGUGGGAUUUUGUAUGUACCAUAUGAAUAAGGAUCGGCUAACUCCGUGCCAGCAGCCGCGGUAAUACGGAGGAUCCGAGCGUUAUCCGGAUUUAUUGGGUUUAAAGGGAGCGUAGGUGGAUUGUUAAGUCAGUUGUGAAAGUUUGCGGCGCAACCGUAAAAUUGCAGUUGAAACUGGCAGUCUUGAGUACAGUAGAGGUGGGCGGAAUUCGUGGUGUAGCGGUGAAAUUCUUAGAUAUCACGAAGAACUCCGAUUGCGAAGGCAGUUCACUGGACUGCAACUGACACUGAGGCUCGAAAGUGUGGGUAUCAAACAGGAUUAGAUACCCUAGUAGUC